rnacentral:rRNA from 1 species
UUAAUUCGAAGCAACGCGAAGAACCUUACCUAAGCUUGACAUCCCAAUGACAUCUCCUUAAUCGGAGAGUUCCCUUCGGGGACAUUGGGGACAGGUGGUGCAUGGUUGUCGUCAGCUCGUGUCGUGAGAUGUUGGGUUAAGUCCCGCAACGAGCGCAACCCUUGUCUUUAGUUGCCAUCAUUAAGUUGGGCACUCUAGAGAGACUGCCAGGGAUAACCUGGAGGAAGGUGGGGAUGACGUCAAAUCAUCAUGCCCCUUAUGCUUAGGGC